rnacentral:rRNA from 1 species
GAUGAACGCUGGCGGCGUGCUUAACACAUGCAAGUCGAACGGGAAACCUUUUAUUGAAGCUUCGGCAGAUUUAGCUGGUUUCUAGUGGCGGACGGGUGAGUAACGCGUGGGUAACCUGCCCUAUACAGGGGGAUAACAACCAGAAAUGGUUGCUAAUACCGCAUAAGCGCACAGGGCCGCAUGGUCCGGUGUGAAAAACUCCGGUGGUAUAGGAUGGACCCGCGUUGGAUUAGCCAGUUGGCAGGGUAACGGCCUACCAAAGCGACGAUCCAUAGCCGGCCUGAGAGGGUGAAUGGCCACAUUGGGACUGAGACACGGCCCAGACUCCUACGGGAGGCAGCAGUGGGGAAUAUUGCACAAUGGGGGAAACCCUGAUGCAGCGACGCCGCGUGAAGGAAGAAGUAUCUCGGUAUGUAAACUUCUAUCAGCAGGGAAGAUAGUGACGGUACCUGACUAAGAAGCCCCGGCUAACUACGUG